AAUGAACGUUGGCGGCGUGGAUUAGGCAUGCAAGUCGAGCGAGAACCCCGCAAGGGGGGACAGCGGCGAAAGGGACAGUAAUGUGUAGAUUAUCUGCCCUCAGGUCCGGGAUAGCUGCGGGAAACUGCAGGUAAUACCGGAUAACAUCUCCGGAUCAAAGGUGUGAUUCCGCCUGAGGAUGAGUCUGCAUCCUAUUAGCUAGUUGGUGGGGUAAUGGCCUACCAAGGCAUUGAUGGGUAGCAGGUGUGAGAGCACGACCUGCGUCAUUGGGACUGAGACACUGCCCAGACACAUACGGGUGGCUGCAGUCGAGAAUCUUCGGCAAUGGGCGCAAGCCUGACCGAGCGACGCCGCGUGUGGGAUGAAGGCCUUCGGGUUGUAAACCACUGUCAGAGGGGAUGAAAUGCAGGUGGGUUCUCCCAUCUGUUUGACAUAGCCUCAGAGGAAGGACGGGCUAAGUUCGUG
rnacentral:rRNA from 1 species